rnacentral:lncRNA from 1 species
AACAUACUUUUAUUAAAUCACAGUGCUAUGAGCCAGAAGUCAGGCACAACUUUUCUGGGUCCUCUCCUCAAGGCCCCAUCAGACUACCGUCAAGGUGUCAGCCAGUCUUUAUGCUCAUCUCUAGCUCCCCAUCCUCUUCCAGGCUCCUUCAAGUUGUUGGCAGAAUCCAGUUCCAUGUGGUUGUGGGACUGAGGUCCAUGUUUUCUUGACGGCUGUAUGCCAGGACAUUUUCAGGCCACCUUCCAGUGACCCUCUCCACAAUAUGGAUGCUCGUUUCUUCAAGGUGAACACAAGAUUCUCUGCAGUUGGCUAAGAUGGAGAUUUCCAUAAUGUAACGUGAUCACAGUUUGAGUCUGCGUGCGAUGAAAAAGAAUAAGAAUACAACUGACAAUGAGGAGGAGGAGCAGAAGCCAUUCCAUGUCCUGGACGUUAGGUCCCAAAAUGGAGCUGAUGGAAGAACGCUUACACUUGGGCAAGCAAUUUCUCGAUGGUGUAUCAGUCCAUCAAUCAAGAAUAUGAGGAAGAGAGAUGACAGCAAAUUGGAUGAAGCUGAGAGAUG